CCUACGGGCGGCAGCAGUGGGGAAUAUUGGACAAUGGGGGGAACCCUGAUCCAGCGACGCCGCGUGAGUGAAGAAGUAUUUCGGUAUGUAAAGCUCUAUCAGCAGGGAAGAAAAUGACGGUACCUGACGAAGAAGCCCCGGCUAACUACGUGCCAGCAGCAGCGGUAAUACGUAGGGGGCAAGCGAUAUCCGGAUUUACUGGGUGUAGAGGGAGCGUAGACGGUGCAGCAAGUCUGAUGUGAAAGGUCGGGGCUCAACCCCGGCCUGCCGUUGAAAAUGGCGGCCUCGAGUGGGCGAGAAGUAUGCGGAAUGCGUGGUGUAGCGGUGAAAUGCAUAGAUAUCACGCAGAACUCCGAUUGCGAAGGCAGCAUACCGGAGCCCGACUGACGCUGAGGCACGAAAGCGUGGGUAUCGAACAGGAUUAGAUACCCCUGUAGUC
rnacentral:rRNA from 1 species